rnacentral:rRNA from 1 species
GAUCCUGGCUCAGGAUGAACGCUGGCGGCGUGCUUAACACAUGCAAGUCGAACGAAGAUGCCGGAGUGCUUGCACUUUGGCAGACUGAGUGGCGGACGGGUGAGUAACGCGCGGGUAACCUGCCUUAUACAGGGGGGAUAACAGUUGGAAACGACUGCUAAUACCGCAUAAGCGCACGGUAUCGCAUGAUACAGUGUGAAAAACUCCGGUGGUAUAAGAUGGACCCGCGU